rnacentral:rRNA from 1 species
GAUGAACGCUGGCGGCGUGCCUAAUACAUGCAAGUCGAGCGAACAGACGAGGAGCUUGCUCCUCUGACGUUAGCGGCGAACGGGUGAGUAACACGUGGAUAACCUACCUAUAAGACUGGGAUAACUUCGGGAAACCGGAGCUAAUACCGGAUAACAUGUUGAACCGCAUGGUUCAACAGUGAAAGACGGUCUUGCUGUCACUUAUAGAUGGAUCCGCGCCGCAUUAGCUAGUUGGUAAGGUAAGGGCUUACUAAGGCAACGAUGGGUAGUCGACCUGAGAGGGUGAUCGGCCACAGCGGAACUGGGGCAGGGUCAAGACUCCGACGGGAAGCAGCAGUAGGGAAGCUGCCGCAAGGGGCGAAAGCCUGACGGUGCAACGCCGAGUGAGUGAAGAAGAUCUUCGGAUCGUAAAACUCUGUUAUUAGGGAAGAACAAAUGUGUAAGUAACUAUGCACGUCUUGACGGUACCUGAUCAGAAAGCCACGGCUAACUACGUG